GCGGGUGUGGUGGUAUUGGCAGUACACAUGGGACUUAAAAUCCCCCAGGUCUUUGAUGAUCUUACGAGUUCGAAUCUCGUCACCCGUA
rnacentral:tRNA from 1 species